rnacentral:rRNA from 1 species
UACGGAGGAUGCGAGCGUUAUCCGGAUUUAUUGGGUUUAAAGGGUGCGUAGGCGGGAUGCCAAGUCAGCGGUAAAAACGCGGUGCUCAACGCCGUCGAGCCGUUGAAACUGGCGUUCUUGAGUGGGCGAGAAGUAUGCGGAAUGCGUGGCGUAGCGGUGAAAUGCAUAGAUAACACGCAGAACUCCGAUUGCGAAGGCAGCAUACCGGCGCCCUACUGACGCUGAGGCACGAAAGCGUGGGUAUCGAACAGG